rnacentral:rRNA from 1 species
GAUGAACGCUGGCGGCGUGCUUAACACAUGCAAGUCGAACGGAAAGGCCCAAGCUUGCUUGGGUACUCGAGUGGCGAACGGGUGAGUGACACGUGGGUGAUCUGCCCUGCACUUCGGGAUAAGCCUGGGAAACUGGGUCUAAUACCGGAUAGGACGAUGGUUUGGAUGCCAUUGUGGAAAGUUUUUUCGGUGUGGGAUGAGCUCGCGGCCUAUCAGCUUGUUGGUGGGGUAAUGGCCUACCAAGGCGUCGACGGGUAGCCGGCCUGAGAGGGUGUACGGCCACAUUGGGACUGAGAUACGGCCCAGACUCCUACGGGAGGCAGCAGUGGGGAAUAUUGCACAAUGGGCGCAAGCCUGAUGCAGCGACGCCGCGUGGGGAUGACGGCCUUCGGGUUGUAAACUCCUUUCGCUAGGGACGAAGCGUUUUUGUGACGGUACCUGGAGAAGAAGCACCGGCUAACUACGUG